rnacentral:rRNA from 1 species
GUGCCAGCCGCUGCGGUAAUACGUAGGGCGCAAGCGUUGUCCGGAAUUAUUGGGCGUAAAGAGCUCGUAGGCGGCUUGUCGCGUCGGUUGUGAAAGCCCGGGGCUUAACCCCGGGUCUGCAGUCGAUACGGGCAGGCUAGAGUUCGGUAGGGAGAUCGGAAUUCCUGGUGUAGCGGUGAAAUGCGCAGAUAUCAGGAGGAACACCGGUGGCGAAGGCGGAUCUCUGGGCCGAUACUGACGCUGAGGAGCGAAAGCGUGGAGCGAACAGGAUUA